rnacentral:lncRNA from 1 species
UUGUUCUUAUCGAGCUCAACAGGAUCUCUAUCUCGAAUCAAGAAACUAAAGUAUCUGUCCAGCUGAUGUGGUCUCUAUCAGAUCGUCUUAAGAGUGGUUCUAUAUUAGGCUCCGAAUUUGAUCUAAUUAAAUUCGAUUCAGAUUCAGUCAUUAGUGUCGGUUCUUCUACCUGUCAAACUUCAUCAAGCUUGACUUUAGAGGCACUUGUUCCUUCACUAAGGAACUCCUUUUCUAAAAAGUAUGUCUUACUACUGAUAAAUAACUUUUGUUCAGUAGGAAGAUAAAAGUAAUAUCCCCUUGUUUUCUUGAGAUACCCUAUAAAAUAAUACUUAUCGAAUCUAGGCCCG